UACGGGGGGAGCAAGCGUUGUUCGGAUUUACUGGGCGUAAAGGGCGCGUAGGCGGCCACCGCAAGUCACUUGUGAAAUCUCCGGGCUUAACCCGGAAAGGUCAACUGAUACUGCGGGGCUAGAGUGCAGGAGGGGCAACUGGAAUUCUCGGUGUAGCGGUGAAAUGCGUAGAUAUCAAGAGGAACACCUGCGGCGAAGGCGGGUUGCUGGGCUGACACUGACGCUGAAGCGCGAAAGCCAGGGGAGCGAACGGG
rnacentral:rRNA from 1 species